rnacentral:rRNA from 1 species
GGAUUAAUUUACUGGUCGUGCUAUUGUACGUACUGGUUUUAUUGAUUCCUCCCUUCUGACGAACUAUGAUGCCAUUAAUUUGGUGUCUUAGGGAAUCAGGACUGUUACUUUGAAAAAAUUAGAGUGUUCAAAGCAGGCGUAACCUUGCCAUUGAAUAUUACAGCAUGGGAUAAUAGAAUA